UUCUUAGAAUUUUUCUUUUUUUACUGUGAAGACGACUACCAUGUUUAGCCGGUCUCUCCCUUUAAAGCAUAAGGUUUUGCUGACGGAAUUGCUUGAAUUGCCAGCAUGGAUUCGGCUUACUCAGGCUACAUGCAACAGGGCUGCUAUACGAAUACAGUGGACCAAAUUGAAAACUGUUCCAAUACAGCUGAGUCUAGAUGAGAUCAGGUCAGUAAUUUUGAAUACUGUUUUAGUAUAUCCAAAUCAGAAUCACCCCCCCCCUCCCUUACAAAAAAAAUGUUUUGUACUUACUAGUGACUAAGUUAGGAAUGUAAGGAGAUUUUGGUUGCUAUGUAAAACAAAAAUAUUACUAAGAGAUAUCAAAUGCAUCAAGUGCCCAAUUUUUUAGUUUUUCUUCCAUAUAUUAGAAAAUUAUUUUAAUUUUUAAAACCGUUAAAUUCUGGCCGUAUUCUACACUCUGAUGCGUGAGUCCUCCGGCGCCGGCAGCGGUGUGGGGUUCUCUAGAAGAUCUUGUUACAAACAAUUAUAAUGUGUUAUUUGCGUUUUCUUCAUUAUUCAUAAAUAUUCGAAUUAAAGAAAUAAAAACAAAAAAGUAAAUAAAUACUUAUAUUACAGCAUAUUUUAGUUGUGGCCGGGGAGCAGCAUAUUUUAGUUGUGGCCGGGGAGCUACAAGAUACAUGAGCUCCCCUAGGCCUCGGUUCAGGGAAAUAAUGAUAACAUAAACCUGUUUAUUAAAAACAAAAAAACUAAAAGGACGGUGUUUAGUUGUGAAUAAUGAUAAAAUAAACCUGUUAAUGAAAAAAAAACUAAAAGGACGGUGUGUAGUUGUGAAUAAUGAUAACAUAAACCUGUUUAUGAAAAAAUGCAAUAAAAGGACGGUGUGUAGUUGUGAAUAAUGAUAACAUAAACCUGUUUAUGAAAAAA